rnacentral:rRNA from 1 species
CAAGUCGAACGGGAAAGUGGAGCAAUCCAUGAGUACAGUGGCGUACGGGUGAGUAACACGUGGGUGAUCUACCUUUUAGUGGGGAAUAACCCCUGGGAAACCGGGGCUAAUACCGCAUAAUCCCGAGAGGGGAAAGCAGCAAUGCGCUGAAAGAGGAGCCCGCGGCCGAUUAGCUAGUUGGUAGGGUAAGAGCCUACCAAGGCAGAGAUCGGUAGCCGGCCUGAGAGGGCACACGGCCACACUGGCACUGAAACACGGGCCAGACUCCUACGGGAGGCAGCAGUGGGGAAUCUUGCACAAUGGGGGCAACCCUGAUGCAGCGACGCCGCGUGAGCGAUGAAGCCCUUCGGGGUGUAAAGCUCUUUCGGCAGGGAAGAUAAUGACGGUACCUGCAGAAGCAGCUGCGGCUAACUACGUGCCAGCAGCCGCGGUAAUACGUAGGCAGCGAGCGUUGUUCGGAGUUACUGGGCGUAAAGGGUGUGUAGGCGGUUCUUUAAGUUUGGUGUGAAAUCUCCCGGCUCAACCGGGAGGGUGCGCCGAAUACUGAGGGACUAGAGUACGGGAGAGGAAAGUGGAAUUCCUGGUGUAGCGGUGAAAUGCGUAGAUAUCAGGAGGAACACCGGUGGUGUAGACGGCUUUCUGGACCGUAACUGACGCUGAGACACGAAAGCGUGGGUAGCAAACAGGAUUAGAUACCCUGGUAGUCCACGCCCUAAACGAUGCAUAUUUGGUGUGGGCAGUUCAUUCUGUCCGUGCCGGAGCUAACGCGUUAAAUAUGCCGCCUGGGGAGUACAGUCGCAAGGCUGAAACUCAAAGGAAUUGACGGGGGCCCGCACAAGCGGUGGAGCAUGUGGUUCAAUUCGACGCAACGCGAAGAACCUUACCUGGGCUCGAACGGCUUCUCACGCCGGUGGAA